CGGCCACACGCGCACUGCCUCCAUCGCGUGAAUGGCCAUGCAUGUGUGGGCGACAUCACAGCCGUCCUGGGCUAGAGCUGCGGGAGCCCCCUACCCCGUGGGCACUGCGGUGUAGAACUUUGGGACACAU
rnacentral:snoRNA from 1 species